rnacentral:lncRNA from 1 species
UUAUAUCGAUGGCACCGGGCGUCUUCAUGCAUGAGGGCAGAUCCGACUGGCCGCACCGAGAUCUCUGCUCAGGUCGAGGGGAAGUCUGUUUAUGGAGGCUGCUAAUCAAAGCCCAUUGUUAGCGAUUAGGGGAGUAGGACACUUCUCCAGCACAGAAACACGGCCCGGUGGGAUUUUUCUGCAUGCGGAUGAUUGGACAUCGCUAUUCAAAGGGAGCCUUCACAAAGGACAAUCAUUAAAGAAAGAGAUUUACUCCAUCACUCUGAAAAUCCUUUAAAUAAAAUUUAUAGAUAAUCCAUGAACACAAAAGCUGUUUUCCUUUUUUUGCUGUAUUUUCGAAGCUCCUCACGUUUGACUCAUUAAGUCCAGCAUCGCCCUGACAUCACUAGUCGUCUUCCUGCUGUGAUCAACUCAGACAGUUUAAUCUCGUCCUUCGCUAUAAUCCAUCCACACAAGACACAGGACCUAGACUUUGAUGUACUGUAAGCGACCUCCAGUAGAUUGGUCUACGGCGAAAACUGCAGACUUUUCCAGGGAAAAUGGUAAACACUGUCUACAGUGAUGAGGAAAAGGGAUCCCAAGACAAGGAAAGUCCUGAACUCUGACCUUCUGCACCACUGGCGUGCUGAUGGAUGCGACGGGAGGAGGAGGAGGAGGAGGAGGAGGAGGAGGAGGAGGAGGACGCUGCAGGGCUUCAGGCGAUGCAGGGAGGCCCGCUGGCUCCUCCAGCGCUCACAGGUACAAUCACCCAGAGCAUCCGGAAAUGUUUAGUCUGUACAUAGACGCGUGGCGCUGAUGCAGGACGCUGGGAAGAUGCAGCUGUCUCCUUCGCAGGGACUGGAAGGACUGCAGAGACAGCACGGACACGUUGUUGGUUUUUUUCAGACGUUAUUUCCUGGAUUAUUAGAUAAAUGAUGUGAUUUGCUUCCGCGAGUUGAACAAUGAACCUGUACAGAGAACUUAUAGACCGAUACCUUUUUAUUAUGUCUUGUUGAAGAUGAUCUCAUGCGCAUUCACAUUAUGAGUAAUUAUCUGGUUUCGCUCUAAAACAUCAUUGGACUUUAUUUAAUCAAAGAGAACGAACGUGAGGACAACACUGGCUUUAAACCAGUUUAAGGAGCAGUUUAUCUACAUACAGUUGUUGAAGAUUACUUUAAUGCAUCGCUUCAGGCUUUAAGGCUCAGUCACUUUGAAACAUGACAAACAGUGUUUUUCUACCAGGCAGACUGACAGACUCAGUCUGUUCCAUGGGACAUAAUGCGACCACUCAUUUUUGUACAUAGAGUUUGCUGAGCGUAGGCGCUGCCAAUAGCUCCUAAUGAUUGUUUGCCUUAAAACAUGGGGAAAUUGCUAUUUCCACGAUGUGUAAAGUUAUCAGGUUAUUACUACUUUGUUAAAGGUUUCACUUCUUGUAUAUACACUCUAAAGCUCAGAUUGGUAAUUUUAUAAAUUUUGUCUUAACAGACAUGCAAAACCUGUGAGUUUUUAAAUAGUGACUCUGUGACGUUUGAGUUCUUUCCAGACCUGCUGUUCAUUUCUUCCUUUUGUGUUCUGUGAGAUGGGCGAGCGUUUGAGCCCACAGGACAUUACUGUGAACGUUAUGGGACGUGAGCACUAGAAGUUUUACCUUUGGGAUAAAUGACUUCACCGGCACUGUGUCAUGCUGUACGUCCUCGUCGUCUUCCCCCUCAUCCAUCUGGGCGUUGAGGCACUUUUUAACAAAGGAUUUGUGUGUUUGGUUCAGGACUGGAGAUAAGAAAACACUUUUACAUUUGAGGAAAAACAUCCCAGAAGAAGUGAUUCUUUCCUCUGACCGGAAUCUGGGCCUGGUGGUUUCAGUGUGAAUAAACCAAUUCAUGUCAGGUUGUGUGAUGUUUAG